rnacentral:rRNA from 1 species
UACGGGGGGGCAAGCGUUGUUCGGAAUUACUGGGCGUAAAGGGCUCGUAGGCGGCCAACUAAGUCAGACGUGAAAUCCCUCGGCUUAACCGGGGAACUGCGUCUGAUACUGGAUGGCUUGAGUUUGGGAGAGGGAUGCGGAAUUCCAGGUGCAGCGGUGAAAUGCGUAGAUAUCUGGAGGAACACCGGUGGCGAAGGCGGCAUCCUGGACCAACACUGACGCUGAGGCACGAAAGCGUGGGUAGCAAACAGG